CUACGGAAGGCAGCAGUAGGGAAUAUUGCAUAAUGGGCGAAAGCCUGAUGCAGCAACGCCGCGUGCGCGAUGAAGGCCUUCGGGUCGUAAAGCGCUUUUCAGAGGGAUGAGGAAGGACAGUACCUCUGGAAUAAGUCUCGGCUAACUACGUGCCAGCAGCCGCGGUAAAACGUAGGAGGCGAGCGUUAUCCGGAUUUACUGGGCGUAAAGCGUGUGUAGGCGGUUUGGAAAGUUGGAUGUGAAAGCUCCUGGCUCAACUGGGAGAGGUCGUUCAAUACUUCCAGACUAGAGUAUGGUAGAGGGAGGUGGAAUUCCGGGUGUAGUGGUGAAAUGCGUAGAUAUCCGGAGGAACACCAGUGGCGAAAGCGGCCUCCUGGACCAUUUCUGACGCUCAGACACGAAAGCUAGGGUAGCAAACGGGAUUAGAUACCCCAGUAGUCG
rnacentral:rRNA from 1 species